GUCAUGUGAACAAAGAGCUUGCUUUUCAACACUGCAUGAAGAAUGGUUCAAGACACUUCUGGGAAUCUCGAAGACAGAUGGUGAAGUUAACGAUGACCUAUUUGAUACAUUGUAUUGCUUGUGGCAUGAACUAAAGCAAUACAAUGUAUCAAGGAAUCUCAAAGACAGAUGGUGAAGUUAACGAUGACCUAUUUGAUACAUUGUAUUGCUUGUGGCAUGAACUAAAGCUGAUAGAUCCACUAGCUGAAGAUGUUAGUCUCUGAGUUAUCAUGUAUAUUCCUGAAACUCUUCAGUGGGAAAUGCCGAUGAAAUUAUGAUACUAACUGGAAGAUAGGAAAGUUAUUGUUGAAGUUUGUAUUUCUUUUUUUUGGUCAAGAGAAGUUUGUAAGUAUAUAGUCUGUUCUAUAAGAGUAGCAAGGUUAGUAAAUUUUUUGCUUUAUGGAUAGAGGCAAGAGAAACUGCAAUGUUGUAAAAUUGUCCUUUACUCCAAGAGAAUCUUUGCCGUUGUAGUUGCUUGAUGAAGAGUUAAUACGGAGUGAAUAAAAUGUUAAGAAAUUAGUUGAACAUAGUCUUCCUUCAAUUGUUAUUGCUUCCAGCACUAGGCAAGUAACAGAGAAUAAUUGUGCCUUUUGCAACAAAGAGUGAAGAAUGAAGUACCC
rnacentral:lncRNA from 1 species